UGGGUAACCUGCCUCAAAGAGGGGAAUAGCCUCCCGAAAGGGAGAUUAAUACCGCAUAAUAUGUUUAAGUCGCAUGACUUUAACAUCAAAGGAUUUUCUUUUAAGAAAUUCCACUUUGAGAUGGACCCGCGGCGCAUUAGCUAGUUGGUGAGGUAACGGCUCACCAAGGCAACGAUGCGUAGCCGACCUGAGAGGGUGAUCCGGCCACAUUGGAACUGAGACACGGUCCAGACUCCGUAGGAGG
rnacentral:rRNA from 1 species